AAUUGGUUGAGUGUUUACAACGACGAGAUGAUAAGUGGAAGGCUGAAAUCCAAAGACUGAAGCGUGCCAGUCCAGCUACUAUCUCCACGUCUCUCUCCACUGAUGGAGCACGGCUCCGUCACCAACACUCCUUUUCUCCUGCGGCGCAGCCAUUACAAAUAAGAACUUCACAAACUCAAACAGUUUUUGAUUCAGUGUCUCAGACGCCCAGUUUUCCUUCCGGUUCUGGUCCAUCUGCGCUGGGUGGAGUACACCUCUCUUUUACCUCAGGUCCUCAGUCAAUUCACAUGCUGUCUCCAACACUAGCUUUGCCAAGCACCAGCAAAAACUCUCCAGUUCCUCCACCAGAAAACACGUCGCUAAAUACCACUGUUAGUCAGCGGGCAAAUGCUCCAAUGAUGUAUGCGAAACCAGCAAUCCGUAUGGAUUCCUCAUCUUUCAGUGGGUCCAGAGAAGUCGCAGAAGUAUUAAACUUCAUUGAGCUAUGUGAAACCUUUUUAGCUGUAAGGCAACUAACUGAUGCCGAGCUUAUAGGCACAUUGUCUAGUGUUCUUAAAGGGCCAGCACAUAGUUGGUGGAGCGUGGCUAAAGCUCAAGUACACAACUGACAUGAGUUUAGAGAGGGAUUUCAAAUUGCCUUUCUUCCGCCUGACUACCUGGCAGAAGUGGAGGAAAGGCUUCGAGACAUGGUGCAGUUACCAGGGCAAUGUCUUAAGGACUUUGCCUAUGAUUAUCGGGCUCUAUGUUUAAAAUGGAAAGCAGACAUCAGUGAAUCGGAGCUGGUGAGAAAGAUUCUAAAUAAUUGUAAUCCGCGAAUUGCUGGAUGUUUAAGAGGGACUGUAACCACCGUAGACCUGAUGGUGAGGAUAGGCACACUAGUGGAAAGGGACUGUAGUUCAUCAAAAGACUACUGGGGGAAGGUUGAUCAGCAGAAAGCUAAAGAAAAACCUUAUGAAAGACCCCUUGACAAAAGUUCCUCUAAGAGGACAGCAGACGUAGUAACCAUGGUUAAACAGGGACAGAUGCCUUGGUUAUCUCUGCUGCGCGUCCCAAGGACUAUCAGGUGAAAACAAUGCAGGGCUGUGUUUGACACUGGUUGUACAUUCACCCUUAUGAGUCACAGGCUGUGGUUGGAGAUAGCUCGGAGUGGUGAAACCCUGCGCCCAAGCAACGAUCAAAGCUUUGCUUUGGCUGAUGAUAAAAUACACUACGCCCUUGGUAAAAUUUGUCUGAUGUACUGCUGGCAUGAUGUCUCCUACCCCUUAGACACUUACAUCAUGGCAGAUGACAACCUUGCUUUUGCUCUUAUAUUGGGUCUGGAUUUCCUUCGUAAAACCUCUACUAUCAUUGACCUUAGCAACCACACAUAUGGAACUCGUGGGUCUAAAAGCUGCACUUUCCAUCCGUUUUUGCCACCUGAAGAAAAACACCCUUCUGAUGGUGUUGGUCCCAAAACCAACCUGUUUGUGGCUCUUCCAACAACACAUACUCUGUUUCCCUCUGCAAAAUCAGACUCAGAACAACUCUCCUGUCCUGAGGUCCCACCUGAGGUUAAUAGCCUGCUUAGAUCCUGGACAGGACUGUGUUUAAGCCGACUGGGAAAAACUACAGUGGAAACACACCACAUCUUCACCACUGAUGACCUUCCCAUUCGUUGCAAGGCAUAUCGGGUCUCCCCUCACAAACGGAAGAUUAUUGCAGACCGUGUGGACCAAAUGUUGAAAGAGGGGAUAAUAGAGCCAUCACAGUCCUCCUGGGGCGCCUCUGUGGUGCUUGUUAUAUGUUCUCAGAUGUUCUUCACACAUGUGAAUGUAUGCUCUCGCGGGCUACAGAAAAUCUGUAGAGUUUUAUUAUCCAGACUGUGGAUCGUUGUAAUCAGCUCAGCUGCUGUUUUCUGAUACUUACUUUAAGCUUUCCUCCCAACAACACAAACAUACAUUUAACAUCAGGAGUCCCAGAGGAAAAAAAGCGCACAAGGUGUUAGAGAAGGUUUUUGUUGUAACGGCCAUGUUGACCAACUGUUUUUGUCACUUACAAUACCACACACAUACUUCUGUCAUUUUAGCAGAGAGGCUGGCCACGGAAAAAGACAAACACACACACAAACACACACACACCGUCCCAUUUCUGCUGCAUUCAGUCUUGUCAGUCAAAGAGUGAAACACCUUCACUCCUCUGUGUCAUAUCGUUGGUGAUUUUGACCUUUACCCAAGAACUAGAGUACAGUUGUAAGUAUAACUAUAGUUUUUUUUUUCUUUUUUCCUAAAUGAGUCAAUCACAUACAGGUUUUACAUGUUGAUGUGUGUUUUUUCUUUCCAGUCACAAUGAUUCUCAUCUCCUUGAUCACAGCAGCUCUGCUAACAGGAUCUUUUGGAAAAGGUACAUUUUAGUGUGAAAUUAUACUUUGAAGAAAGUCUAAUUAUUCAAGUAAAACAGACAGAUUUUGAAUUAACCAAAGUUCUGUAAAAUAUUUCAAUGUUAAACUAUAAGUUUAAAAAUAACAUAUUUAUUGCUAAAGUAAUUUGGUUUUUUCAUCUUUGUGUCUUCCAGGUUUUACAAAUUGCAGCUUUAACGAAUCAAAGGAAACUUCAUGUUUCACUGCAGAUGGAAAAUCUGUUCAUUUUUAUCUGUCAUACGAAUACCAUAGUGGCAAGAAGGAGCUAAAACACGGCAAGUCCGUACUCUUCCAGGUGGACCAAAAUGGAAAAGUGAUAACUGAUCACCAACAUUUUAAACUUGUUAAUGGAACAAUCAAAUUGAACAAUGUCUCAAAGACAAAUGCUGGAGUUUACACCUUUCAAGAGUUUAACCCUGAUGGCAAAGUACUGAGAAAUUCCAUUGUGAAUCUCAGAGUACUUGCUCCUGUGUCUGUGUUAACGGUGUCUCAGCAGUGUUUGUCACCAGAACAGCAGAAAGUCACCUGCUUCUAUGAGGGAGAUGAAGCAGAGCUCACUCUGACUUUGAAUGGUUUCUUACUUUUACAAUCAAACAAACCCAGUCAGUCCCUGAACAAUGACACAUCUGAUAGAUCCAGUGUGUUUAAUGUUUCCAUCAUCAUACAUGGACAGCCUCUUGGAGACAUCACGUGUAAAGUCUGGAACAAUGUCAGCAGAGAUGAGAAGGUUAAAACCAUCCCUGCUUGCAACGGUGCAGUAUACAUUUUCCACAGAGAAAUGUUGGACAAAUUCAAAUCAGUUAAAUCUAAAUAAAAAAUUGUUUUUCUCCAGGUUUACAAUCAGUUUCUGUGGCUACAUUUGCUGCAGUUGCUGCAUUUUUCUCAUUCUUACUUCUUGCUGCUUUGAUCGCCGCUUUAAUAAAACUUUGUCAAAAACGAAGAGCGGCAGCAGUUAAUGCAGGAGACGCACAAGCUGAUGUUAUCUACGCAGACGUUAAAAUAAAAAAAAAGAAUAGAAAAACUGAAGCCAGGCAACAACGCAGCGCCCAACGAUAAUUUUUUGUUCUGCUGAUAAAAAAAGUAUUUCUGUUGCAAAAUCUUCAUUCUGUUCUGCUUCUUCACUGAGGAAUAGUUAAACAUUGUGUUGAUUGGAUUGACUUUACUUUUUCAAGGUCAUUUGAUCAUCCUAAAAAUGCGUCUUUCUUUUAUUAAAUCCUUUGUAAGUUUUUCAUUUCUCUUUUAAAGUAAAUAACCAUAUAUAACUCCAUUUAUUUUGUAGAUAUACCCAUUAAAUUUGCUUUAAUUCAUAGUUUACAGUUUUGCUUGCUAAAACCCCCCAAAAUAAAAUAAGACAUUAAAAACUGAGGAAAUUUAAGGAUUUCUAAUAAAUUGGCAGCACAAAAACAUAAUAAACACAAUUUAAUGUACAUCUUGUGUAUACAAAAAUGUUUAAGAGGAAAGUCAUAAUCAACAUUUCAGUAAUUUUAUGAUAGAAGAUUUAAAAAAUAACAUUUUACCUAAAUGGCUAUGGAGGAUGUUCUUUUUACAGUCAUAUGAUAUUAGAUGAUAAAAUAUUAAUCUAAGAUCCUGCAUUAAUAAUUUUAAAAAUGCUUACUUACUAUUGCAAAUGGAUUUCUGUAGUUUAACCACGUUAUCAUUAUUUUAAAAGCUUUACGUAUUUUUUUGUGAUCAGCUCAGCUGCAAUUUUCAGGAAACUUUUCUUCUAAUUUCUGUAAGAAAUUUAACAAUUUUAACAAAUACAUAUGGUAAGAGAAAACACAUGGAACCACCCUACCUAACAAUGUCUUUUUGUGUUUUAACUUCUCCUCUCAUAAAAUGCAAGAAUGAAGACUCAGUAAAAAUGAAGGGCUUUUUAUAUGUAAAAUUAUA